AACGAACGCUGGCGGCAUGCCUAACACAUGCAAGUCGAACGAGACCUUCUGCUCUAGUGGCGCACGGGUGCGUAACGCGUGGGAACCUGCCCUUAGUUUCGUAAUAACUCCCCUAAAGUGGUUCUAAUACCGUAUAAUUUCUUCCGACCAAAGAUUUAUGGCCUUUGGUUGGGCCCGCGUUGGAUUAGCUUGUUGGUAGGGUAAAAGCCUACCAAGGCGACGAUCCAUAGCUGUUCUGAGACGAUGAUCAGCCACACUGGGACUGAGACACGGCCCAGACGACUACGGGAGGGAGGAGAGGGGAAUAUUGGAAAAUGGGGGAAAGGAUGAUAAAGCAAUGACGGGUAAGUGAUGAAGGGAUUAGGGAUGAAAAGCUGUUUUACACGGGAAGAUAAUGACAGUAACGGGAGAAUAAGCUCCGGCUAACUACGUG
rnacentral:rRNA from 1 species